CCCCGUUCUUGUUCCAACCACAAUGCAUAUUGUUCUGUUGAUAGAAACGUGGGAUUUCUCAAAUCCUCUUGGACCACAGGGAGCUGGAUGUGAAGGUGGUAGGUCCCGCCUGCAAAUCUGGCUUCCAGGGUGAAUGUCCCGCAGGAAGGACCAGUGGCCAGUCAGGACUGAACAGGCGGCAGGUGUGUGUUGGGAGCGGAAACAAUGGGUCACCUUGACAUGAAUGGGUGAUAAGCGGCACACAAUGUGCAAGUCAAGAUCAAUUCAUGCACGCUCCUCCCUGAGCCGUGCUCUGCACCGGGAAACGUUCUAUAAAUACGGGGAUUGUUCCCAGCCAUGUUUAAAGCCUCUCUUUGUUUCUCUUCUCUCCAGGCCUGCUGAGAUCCCAGCCGAUCUCCAGCCAUGAGGAUCUUCUGCCUUGCGCUUGUGGUUCUCCUCGUGGUCUCCUUGGCUUCCCCAGGGUUCGGGGUCGCUCAGGACACACAGUACUGUGUGAAAUUCGGUGGACAGUGCAAACCGGCCUGUACCUACACCAUCAAUAGGAUCGGAUGCUGCCGCAAUGGGGUCUGGGUGUGCUGCAAGCAGUAGAACCAGCAGGAGUCCCGAGACACCCAGCCCAACGGGAGAAAACUCAACAGAACAAGCUGUUCUCCUCCGGAGACUCCCGGGCUCUUAUUAAACAAGUGGAUCAUGCCAGGGA